rnacentral:rRNA from 1 species
GGANUGCCANUGGGGGAACCCUGAUGCAGCGACGCCGCGUGAGCGAUGAAGCCCUUCGGGGUGUAAAGCUCUUUCGGCAGGGAAGAACGAUGACGGUACCUGCAGAAGCAGCUGCGGCUAACUACGUGCCAGCAGCCGCGGUAAUACGCAGGCAGCGAGCGUUGUUCGGAGUUACUGGGCGUAAAGGGUGCGUAGGCGGUCCCUUAAGUUUGGUGUGAAAUCUCCCGGCUCAACUGGGAGGGUGCGCCGGAUACUGAGGGGCUAGAGUGCGGGAGAGGAAAGUGGAAUUCCUGGUGUAGCGGUGAAAUGCGUAGAUAUCAGGAGGAACACCGGUGGUGUAAACGGCUUUCUGGACCGUAACUGACGCUGAGGCACGAAAGCGUGGGGAGCAAACAGGAUUAGAUACCCUGGUAGUCCACGCCCUAAACGAUGCACGUUUGGUGUGGGUGAUUCAGUUCAUCCGUGCCGGAGCUAACGCGUUAAACGUGCCGCCUGGGGAGUACAGUCGCAAGGCUGAAACUCAAAAGAAUUGACGGA